CCUCUGGGUUCUGAGCUGUGAUGUGCUCUCGAGCUGGGAUCUCCGGGGUCUUGGUUCAGGGCCGGGGCCUCUGGGUUCCAAGC
rnacentral:miRNA from 10 species